GCCCCACACGCCCACGCUCCGCUGCGACGUCGUGGGGGUUCUGGGGGGCGCAGGCUCCCUCCCAGACGGCAAGGGAACGGGGGGUGCCGCUGGGCGCGGGCUGGGCCACGAUGCAGGGGGAGGGGGCGCGGCCAGGCAAAGUCUCUCCAGGGUCGCACGGGGCCACGGCAGGAGGCGCCGGUCGCCUUACCUCCGAGAGCAGGAUCCUCAAAUAAGAGGAGGCGGUCCCCAGCGUCUCCUGGCCUCGGCGAGGUUCCGUGCGGAGAGCCUGGGUCUUGAAGCAGGGGCGGCCCUGGAGUCACCUGCGGUCACCUGAAGCGGACGCUCCAGGAGGAGGCAGGUGGAGGCAGAUAAGAGAAUCGAGUUUCAGAACGGGAGAUGGGGCUUUGCAAAUGCCUUUCCACUGCAGCUACCAUCCACAGAACAAGAAAGGAAUCACUCUCACCAGCUGCCUCCCCACCAGUUCUGUGAGCUCCGGACGUACAGGAAUGAAGCACCACCACUCUGGUCUCUCCCAAGAGUCUCUCAGUCCCCUCACCAUGUGUCCAGAUAAUUGUAAUAUCAAACUGCAAUAAAAUUCAGUUCUAAAUGUA